GCAAGUCGAGCGGACAGAAGGGAGCUUGCUCCCGGAUGUUAGCGGCGGACGGGUGAGUAACACGUGGGUAACCUGCCUGUAAGACUGGGAUAACUCCGGGAAACCGGAGCUAAUACCGGAUAGUUCCUUGAACCGCAUGGUUCAAGGAUGAAAGACGGUUUCGGCUG
rnacentral:rRNA from 1 species